GACGAACGCUGGCGGCAUGCUUAACACAUGCAAGUCGAACGGAAAGGCCCUGCUUUUGUGGGGUGCUCGAGUGGCGAACGGGUGAGUAACACGUGAGUAACCUGCCCUUGACUUUGGGACAACUUCAGGAAACUGGGGCUAAUACCGGAUAGGAGCUCCUGCUGCAUGGUGGGGGUUGGAAAGUUUCGGCGGUUGGGGAUGGACUCGCGGCUUAUCAGCUUGUUGGUGGGGUAGUGGCUUACCAAGGCUUUGACGGGUAGCCGGCCUGAGAGGGUGACCGGCCACAUUGGGACUGAGAUACGGCCCAGACUCCUACGGGAGGCAGAAGUGGGGAAUAUUGCACAAUGGGCGGAAGCCUGAUGCAGCAACGCCGCGUGCGGGAUGACGGCCUUCGGGUUGUAAACCGCUUUCGCCUGUGACGAAGCGUGAGUGACGGUAAUGGGUAAAGAAGCACCGGCUAACUACGUG
rnacentral:rRNA from 1 species